GAUGAACGCUGGCGGCGUGCCUAAUACAUGCAAGUCGAGCGAACAGACGAGGAGCUUGCUCCUCUGACGUUAGCGGCGGACGGGUGAGUAACACGUGGAUAACCUACCUAUAAGACUGGGAUAACUUCGGGAAACCGGAGCUAAUACCGGAUAAUAUAUUGAACCGCAUGGUUCAAUAGUGAAAGACGGUUUUGCUGUCACUUAUAAAUGGAUCCGCGCCGCAUUAGCUAGUUGGUAAGGUAACGGCUUACCAAGGCAACGAUGCGUAGCCGACCUGAGAGGGUGAUCGGCCACACUGGGACUGAGACACGGUCCAGACUCCUACGGGAGGCAGCAGUAGGGAAUCUUCCGCAAUGGGCGAAAGCCUGACGGAGCAACGCCGCGUGAGUGAUGAAGGUCUUCGGAUCGUAAAACUCUGUUAUUAGGGAAGAACAAAUGUGUAAGUAACUAUGCACGUCUUGACGGUACCUAAUCAGAAAGCCACGGCUAACCACGUG
rnacentral:rRNA from 1 species